rnacentral:rRNA from 1 species
CCUACGGGUGACAGCAGUGAGGAAUAUUGGUCAAUGGACGAGAGUCUGAACCAGCCAAGUAGCGUGAAGGAUGACUGCCCUAUGGGUUGUAAACUUCUUUUAUAGGGGAAUAAAAUGUGCCACGUGUGGGAUUUUGUAUGUACCAUAUGAAUAAGGAUCGGCUAACUCCGUGCCAGCAGCCGCGGUAAAACGGAGGAUCCGAGCGUUAUCCGGAUUUAUUGGGUUUAAAGGGAGCGUAGGUGGCUUGUUCAGUCAGUUGUGAAAGUUUGCGGCUCAACCGUAAAAUUGCAGUUGAAACUGGCAGUCUUUAGUACAGUUGAGGUAGGCGGAAUUCGUGUUGUAGCUGU